UACGGAGGGAGCUAGCGUUAUUCGGAAUUACUGGGCGUAAAGCGCACGUAGGCGGCUUUGUAAGUUAGAGGUGAAAGCCUGGAGCUCAACUCCAGAAUUGCCUUUGAUACUGCAUGGCUUGAAUCCAGGAGAGGUGAGUGGAAUUCCGAGUGUAGAGGUGAAAUUCGUAGAUAUUGGGAAGAACACCGGUGGCGAAGGCGGCUCACUGGCUCAUUUCUGACGCUCAGGCGCGACAGCGUGGGGAUCGAAACAGG
rnacentral:rRNA from 1 species